rnacentral:rRNA from 1 species
UACGUAGGGGGCAAGCGUUGUCCGGAAUCAUUGGGCGUAAAGCGCGUGUAGGCGGCUCGGUAAGUCCGCUCUGAAAGUCCAGGGCUCAACCCUGGGAUGCGGGUGGAUACUGUCGGGCUCGAGUCCGGAAGAGGCGAGUGGAAUCCUGGUGUAGCGGUGAAAUGCGCAGAUAUCGGGAGGAACACCGGUGGCGAAGGCGGUUCUCUGGGCCUUACCUGACGCUGAGGAGCGAAAGCGUGGGGAGCGAACAGG